rnacentral:tRNA from 1 species
GCCGUGGUGGUGGAAUGGUAGACACGCACGCUUGAGGGGCGUGAAUCCGCAAGGAUGUGGAGGUUCGAGUCCUCUCCACGGCA